rnacentral:rRNA from 1 species
ACGGCUCAGUAACACGUGGGUAACUGCCUUACACAGGGGGAUAGCCUUCCGAAAGGAAGAUUAAUACCGCAUAAGAAGUAAUUAUCGCAUGAUAGUAGCUUUAAAGGAGAAAUCCGGUGUAAGAUGGACCCGCGGCGCAUUAGCUAGUUGGUGAGGUAAUGGCUCACCAAGGCAACGAUGCGUAGCCGACCUGAGAGGGUAAUCGGCCACAUUGGAACUGAGAGACGGUCCAGACUCCUACGGGAGGCAGCAGUGGGGAAUAUUGCACAAUGGAGGAAACUCUGAUGCAGCAACGCCGCGUGAGUGACGAAGGCCUUCGGGUUGUAAAGCUCUGUCAUCUGGGACGAUAAUGACGGUACCAGAGGAGGAAGCCACGGCUAACUACGUGCCAGCAGCCGCGGUAAUACGUAGGUGGCGAGCGUUGUCCGGAAUUACUGGGCGUAAAGGAUGCGUAGGUGGAAAUUUAAGUCAGAUGUGAAAUACCCGAGCUUAACUUGGGCACUGCAUAUGAAACUGGAUUUCUUGAGUGCAGGAGAGGAAAGCGGAAUUCCUAGUGUAGCGGUGAAAUGCGUAGAGAUUAGGAAGAACACCAGUGGCGAAGGCGGCUUUCUGGACUGUAACUGACACUGAGGCAUGAAAGCGUGGGGAGCAAACAGGAUUAGAUACCCUGGUAGUCCACGCUGUAAACGAUGGGUACUAGGUGUGGGAGGUAUCGACUCCUUCCGUGCCGCAGUUAACACAAUAAGUACCCCGCCUGGGGAGUACGAUCGCAAGAUUAAAACUCAAAGGAAUUGGCGGGGGAGCAC